CAGUCGCCGCGGGAACACGUAGGGUGCGAGCGUUAAUUGGAAUUACUGGGCGUAAAGCGUGCGCAGGCGGUUCGUUAAGACAGAUGUGAAAUCCCCGGGCUUAACCUGGGAACUGCAUUUGUGACUGGCGAGCUAGAGUAUGGCAGAGGGGGGUAGAAUCCCACGUGUAGCAGUGAAAUGCGUAGAGAUGUGGAGGAAUACCGAUGGCGAAGGCAGCCCCCUGGGCCAAUACUGACGCUCAUGCACGAAAGCGUGGGGAGCAAACAGGAUUAGAGACCCCAGUAGUCCCUGUCUCUUAUAC
rnacentral:rRNA from 1 species